rnacentral:rRNA from 1 species
AACUCUUUACCAUCUCAAGACAUCCUUUUGACCACUCUAAACCAUAGACCUCACCUUUCGUGAUCCAACUGUCCGGCGGUGCAUGGUUGUCGUCACCUCGUCUCAAGCUGUUGGGCCCAGUCCGGCAACGUGCGCAACCCGCAUUGUUAGUUGCCAUCAUUUAGUUGGGCACUCUAACGAGACGGCUCGGUGACAUCCCUGAGGAAGGUGGGGAUGACGUCAAAUCAUCAUGCCCCUUAUGACGUGGGCUACACACGUGCUACAAUGGGAAGUACAACGGGUUGCGAAGUCGCGAGGUUAAGCUAAUCUCU